UACGUAGGGUGCAAGCGUUGUCCGGAAUUAUUGGGCGUAAAGAGCUCGUAGGCGGCUUGUCGCGUCGACUGUGAAAUCCCGCGGCUCAACUGCGGGUCUGCAGUCGAUACGGGCAGGCUAGAGUUCGGUAGGGGAGAUCGGAAUUCCUGGUGUAGCGGUGAAAUGCGCAGAUAUCAGGAGGAACACCGGUGGCGAAGGCGGCCCACUGGAUCGGUACUGACGCUGAGGUGCGAAAGCGUGGGGAGCAAACAGG
rnacentral:rRNA from 1 species